UACGUAGGGGGCAAGCGUUGUCCGGAAUUACUGGGCGUAAAGCGCGUGUAGGCGGGACGACAAGUCCGGCGUGAAAGGCUUGGGCUCAACCCGAGAUGGCCGUUGGAACUGUCGUUCUUGAGGGUGAAGAGGAGAGUGGAAUUCCUGGUGUAGCGGUGAAAUGCGUAGAGAUCAGGAGGACACCCAUGGCGAAGGCAGACUCUCGUGGU
rnacentral:rRNA from 1 species